rnacentral:lncRNA from 1 species
AAAUUAUGGAUUAUAUAUUUUAUACCUCCGUACAAGAAAACUCAACAUUUGUUCGAUGUACUAUAUCAAUAUUAAAAUUAGAGGAUUGGCUUUAAUUUAUUUAAAAUGCUAACUUAUCCCACUUGUGAGAAAGAUUAUAUCUAGAAAUUGUGUUUAGUAUUGUUCGUAUUUGCUUCAUUGGAUAGAUGAGUGAAUAUAAUGGUCACGAGUUUUUAAAUAUUUGUAUUUAAAAAAAGACUAUUGUUUUAUCUUUCUUUAAAGGAGGCGGUGCCAGAUUUCCGCACGUACGAAAAAAUCAAAUCCAGCGGUAAAAACGAAUGAAGCAAGAGAGCGAGAGGAAAAGAACAAAUGACCGACGAGUGGACUUAUAUGCAGGACUCCCUUCAAAAUUCGGAUAGUUUGCGGUUAUUUAUUUUUUAAUUUUUUAGUUUAUUAUUUUAGUAAAUAAAAUUUAUCGGUUUUCUGUAUUUUUUGAAUUAAAAAAAUUAUAUUUUUUUGACUUUCUUUUAAUGAAAUGAUUCAAAAAUAAAAGUUUAUUAACAACGAAGAAAACAAUUUUUAUUCCAAAAAGCUAUCUAAAACUUUUUUUGGCUUUAUAAUAUUUCUUUAAAUUAAAUAAAAUUUAUAUUUCAUAAUCCUCCUCCUCCAAAAAUUUGAAAAAUAUCAAUUUUGAUAAAAUAGCAAAAGAUUAAUUAAAGAAUAAACAACUCCAAAAACUACUGAAACAAAAAAAACACAAGAACAUAUAUUUCAAAUUGGGUAUCUAGAUGACUAUAAUAUUUUCUUGUUUUUUUUUAAAAAUGCUACAAUACACAUCACAUAUUAUUUGACGCAUUAUGUUGAUGAGAUACCCAAUCAAACUAUUUUUAUUGGUCACAUUGGUCAUUUUACUUAUUAACUAGAUUAACUCUAAUUUAACUAUAAAAUUCUCAUAAAACAAACCAUAAUAGUCAUAAAAUUUACCAACAACAUAUCAUAGAUUCAUACAAUCGUUAUAACAACAUAUCUCACAGCCAUCCAAAAUUCAUAACUAAACUAAAAUCCUAAGAAGCUUUUUUUUUUAUAGAUCGCCCUUUUAAUUGGUAUGUUUCACAUCAAUUAAUACUAUAAAGGACUAAUCCUUAAGGCCCCGAAUUUUAAUUAUUUCUAUUUUAUUAUAAUAAGAAAAUAUAUAUAAAUAUAUUGAUAGAAUUUUAAUAUUUUUGAGAUUUUUAUGAUAAUAUAAUUUUUAUUUAAAAAUAUUUUUUGAUAAAACGAAAUAAAAAGUUAAACAUAUGUCCUAUUUUUAGGACACAUGUCAAGCCUGUGUUAAUAGAUUUGACCAUUUUGGGACACAUGUCAAGUAUGUGUUAAUAGAUUUGACCAUGUGGGACUAGCUCAUGGGAUGACUCACCCUGGCCGUUUGUUUUUCUUUUGUCUUCUUUGAAAGACAAAAAUCUAUAAGAGAGAGAGAGACGGUCCUACGGAGAGAGAAGAAAGUUGGGGCAGAGAGAAGAAAGAAAGAAAGAAAUGGAGAAGAAGGAAUUAAUAUUGUGAUUAUUGAUUAUAAGUGAUUAGAUAUUGAAAUGAUCCGGUGAGAUAAGUAUUUGAUCGAAAUAAAAUUUAGCAUGUGUUUUUUAUGAUUGAGCCAAAAAACAUAUCAAAUAUAUCUAUUUUUAAUUUGAGCUAAGCAGAGUAUACAAUAUGCUUUCAAUAAUGGAGUAUUUUUCAAAAUUUGAUUUUUGUAUUUUUUUUGAGAAUAUGUACAAUCUAUUGAAAUUCAUAUAUUUUAUAAAACCUGAUCUUUGUGAUAUUAUUAUAUGUGGUUUAAAUGGCUAUGAAAUUAGUGGUAUAUUAACUAAGGGGAACCGCCCAUAAUCUACUAAGACGGAAAAAUCAAAUAAGGUAAGAGACGUAGUGAGGCCGACCACCAUGUAAUUACCAGGAAAGACUGAGUAUGAGGUUUUUCACGCUUUUGAUGAAUUCGUUGAUCUCUUCUAAAUUUGUUGUUGAGUCUAUUAAUUGGGAAAAUUGAGCUAUUCCCGUCGUAUUAUAUACUUUCCUACUUUAAAAUAAUUUUUCAGCCGAACGUGGGGAGUUCAGGUAGUCACGAAAUAGGUUUAUAAAAGAUUUGAGAUUUUUAAUAAUUUUUGUAUUUAUUAUUUUUUGGAGAUAUUGUAAAAAUAAACAUUUGAAGACCAAUGUAAUUUUGAGAAAAAUAACGCUCUGACUUGUAAAUAAAGGAACACAAAUGAGGAUUAUUAACGGCCCAUUAUCGUCAAUUGUGAUAGAGAGAAAAAUAUGAUGGGUUGUUACAAAAUCAUUGUUUAAAGCCACACUAAUUCAUAAUAAUGACUAUAAUCAUUCAUAAUCAAAUCAAUAAAAUUCAUAAAAGUAAAUUUUAAUUGGUAAACUCCAUGGCAAUUAUGCUUUAAAGUGACUAAAUUAUUUUUAUGAUUAUAUCAAUAAGAAUUCAUAAAGUAAUCAUAAAAGAUUAAUAAAAUUAUCUAAAAUACUAAUAGAAUUCAUAUAAAUCUAUUUAUAACAAACAUCUUAUAACAAUGACCAACAACAAUUCAAAUUAAAUUAAUACGAUUUUAUAAAACUAACCAAUACCAUUCCAAAAAUAAAAUAAGUUUAAAACCACUAUUCAAUUAUAAUUAUUAAUUUAUUUAAUAUUAAAUUAACUCAUCUAAUAAUUAUUAAAUGGGGUAUAUGUUAAAGAACAACCACACUAGUACCUCUCAUUUGGAAGGUUCGUCUCUCUCCCCAUUCUCUCUCUCUCUCUCUCUCUCUCACGUCUUCCUCCUCUCUCUCCUCCUCAAUAAUUAUAGUUGGCAGGCAGCAGGGGUCAAGGAAUCUAAACAAAUCCCCCUCCAAAAAAAUGUGGAUUGACAAUGUCAUUAUAUGAUUUAUUAACUAAUUUAUGGAGCAAUCUUUUAUCAUUCGCUGUUAUAGUUCCUCUAUAUUGGUUGGAAAAAAUUUUUAACUAUUACUAGGGCCCUGUUUGUCCUAGCUCAAAUAUUUUAAUUAUUUAUUUUUGGACUAAAAUAUAAAACUGAGAUAAAAAAAUUAACUUUUCUUAUUUGGAAUAACCUAAAAAAUUAUGAGUUUUUUAGUCAUAAAUUAAUACCAAAUCAUUGUGAUGGCUGUUGAAUUUAUUAAAAAAUAUAUGCCAAUGAGCCUUUCAAAAUCAUUAAAAAUUAUUUGCCCAACCAAAACAAUCCGCAAAAAGAGCUAAAUAUAAUUUGGGCCCUUUUGGUUAAGACAUAAUAAAAAAUUUUAGGCUAAAACGAGCCUAAAAUUUGAAGGAACAACCCAAAUUUGCUCCAUUGGCUCACUGUUCGCUGACAAUUCUCUUUGUGUGGUAGCAAUAACCUCGAUGGAAUCCCACAUCACCUCAAUUAUUCCUGCCUUUCAUCUGAUUUGGGAGGUUCUGAUGGGGAACGCCUACCCCAAUUGUCAGUUUUAAUUUUCAUUUGUCAAAAAAAAUAAAAAAUCAACAUAUAGUUGUAGUACAAUUUGGUGAAUAAAAUUUUUUUGGCUAGAAAAAAAAUGGUAUGAGGAGAAGCGAACUAGUGUGCCACAUCUUUUGCGCGUUCAAUCUUAUUUGCGGGGCCAAUAUGGAGGGGCGGAGGCCUGUUAGACGCGUACUCUCAAGUUGAUUGCCAUAACUAUUUCUUGUUAAUUUUCUCACUUUGGUCCUUAAAUUAUAUAAAACCAUUGGCAAUCAAUUUUGAAUCCAACGUCCGGUUAUAAAAUAGAUAAAAAUUUUUCAGUUCGCUCAUGUGUUGACCUAACCACAAAUUCAGGAGAGACCCAUGUUAACAAACUCAAGAAAAUAUCCAAACUUGAUUUGUCUUACUACCUUGUUCGUUCUCUAAAUAUCUCGCUCCCCCUCUCUCUCUCUUCGUUUCCUAUAGAAAAAAAAGUUAAUUGGUAUGUCUAUGACGUUAGUAUGGGGUUGGCUCUGGAUUCGAGUUUGGCUCAACACGUGGCAGCCUAAUUGGAAAAUUUUCCGUCCAUUUGGUAUAUGACGUUGGAUAUCGAGUUUGAUUCCCCACCCGCACAGAUUAAUAGUUGAGAGUAUAAAAUAAAAAAAUUAGCUAGGGGGCAAAGUAGCAGUUUAAAACCCUUUGAGAAAUUAUCUAAAGUAAAAGGAUAUUAACACUUUUUAUUCACAUAUCUAUAUUUUAAAAAGGAAAUGAGGAUAGGAUGGAGUUAUUCUAUAAAUAAAAGCAGAGUGUACCCGCCAGUACAUGAUCUUUUUGGAGCUGCUCAUCCGCACCAACACGGACGGUCGUGCUUAGGCAUUUAGAGCGAGAAACUUUUAGAGAGAGAACGGAGCGACGCAAUUCCCACUGGUUUAUGUUGCCCAUUUUCCGGGGUUGGUUCUUCGUGAUCAAUCUCUCCGCCUCUCUGCUCUCCCUCACUUCUUCUUCUAGAGAGUCCAAACCCUCUCAAAAAACAUAGAAUUCGCUCUUGUACAUUGGUUCGGUCUCAAUUCCGUAUGCGUUUUCGGCGUUUUUGUUGUCUCUGUUUAGGUUCGGUGGUUGUGGUUACUGAUUGAUUCUGUGUUGAUAAUAUAUAUAUGUGUGUGUUUGUAUGUCUAUAUGAGUUCAACCUCUCAAAAAAUGUAGAAUCUUGCUCUCGUUCUUGUUAGUCCUUCAAUUCCGUCCGCUGUGUUUUCGAGUUUUGUCUCUGUUGAGGUCGGUGGUUGUGGUUACCUGAUUAGAUUCCGUGUUGAUAAUCAUAUAUUUGUGUGUUUUUAUGUCUAUAUGAGUUCUUUAAUAGUGUAAACCAUCUGUGGUUUUUGUGUUGUUGCAAGGAUGAAAGAGACGGAGAUGGGAAGUACCGAUGAAUUACUGGAGGCUCUGAAGAAGGAAGUCGUGAUUGGUACUGACUUGUGAUUGCAAAAUAGUCUUUUUGUUUCUUGUUGAGUUUUUUUUUUUUGUUAUUGGAAAAUUUGUGUGGCGCUUGAUUUCUAAUUUUUUUGAUUUUUGAGUUGGUGUUUAUUUGCG